rnacentral:SRP_RNA from 1 species
UCGCAAGUCUGGUACGACCAGCUCCUGCUGAACUCCCCCAGGACCGGAAGGUAGCAAGGGUAGGCGGUCGUAGCGGUGCGAUGCCGGGCUUGCUUUUU